AGUGAACGCUGGCGGCGUGCCUAAUACAUGCAAGUCGAACGGAGUGGCGCACGGGUGAGUAAUAUAUAGCUGAUCUGCCCCUUGCUGGAGGACAACAGUUCGAAAUGACUGCUAAUACUCCAUAGGAAGGGAUGAGACUAUAUCGUAUCAGCUAGUCGGUGGGGUAACGGCCUACCGAGGCUAUGACGCGUAACUGGUGUGAGAGGAUGAGCAGUAACAUGGGAACUGAGACACGGGCCAAACUCCUACGGGAGGGAGCAGUAGGGAAGAUUGCGCAAUGGGGGAAACCCUGACGCAGCAACGCGGCGUGGAGGAUGACACUUAUCGGAGCGUAAACUCAUUUUGUUAGGGAAGCGGUACCUAACGAAUAAGCACCGGCUAACUCCGUGCCAGCAGCCGCGGUAAUUC
rnacentral:rRNA from 1 species